ACGUGAAUAUGCAUAGAAAAUUAUAUGUAUUUAAAAUUAUGAGAAUUUACAGAAAGAAAAUCGGUGCAAAAAUGUAGAGAGAGCAAUAAGAAUAAUGGUAUGCAUAGGUGUGUAGUGUAUGUUGGAGUAUUUUAGGAUUGCACAAGGUGAAGUUGAGAGAGUGAGGAAAACAUCGUAUAUUCAGCUAAUAAAGUCUUUUU
rnacentral:lncRNA from 1 species